rnacentral:rRNA from 1 species
UGAGCAAUCUGCCCUUCUCAUCGGAAUAGGCGUUGGAAACGACGUCUAAUGCCGAAUACGACCUCCUUUCGCAUGAUCGGAGGUGGAAAGCUCCGGCGGAGAAGGAUGAGCUCGCGGCCUAUCAGCUAGUUGGUGUGGGUAAUGGCCCACCAAGGCGACGACGGGUAGCCGGCCUGAGAGGGUGACCGGCCACACUGGGACUGAGACACGGCCCAGACUCCGUACGGGAGCAG